AUUGUACUUUAUUGUACUUUAGUAUCUAUAACAUAGUUAAAUUUAUUUCAUAAUAUUUUUUAUUUUUGUUACAUAAUACAAUCGUAUAACGGGAAAAUUUUCAAUUGCUGAAUUCGAGGACGGAAUCCAACGAUGGGAAGAUUUUCAAUUAUUGAAUUUAAGGACAGGAUCCAACUUACUCCCACAUCAUGGAUUUAUGAUGAAAAUAGAAAAUGUUGUACAUAUACAGACGGCAUGAGAAAAUUGAAUCUUUAGCAACUAUCAACGUCACCAAACAAUUCUCCGAUGUUGAUAGUGCUAGAAAAAAUAACAAUGAAAAAAAAAUAUCUAAACGUGAACGAGCAAAGAAAAAAAAUUUCACGUCCUCUGAUUCGGAUUCAGAUUCUGAUCAUGCAUCUUCUGACGACAACAUAAUCAAUACAAUGACGACAACACCAUCUGAUAAUGGCGACAUCCAAACAAUAAAAAAACAAUAUAGAUUAGGUGCUUUAAAUACGUCGACAAAACAAAAGAAUGUGCUAAGGCCAUCUAUUGACAAAAUCCGCAAUCACUUAGUUGCCAAUAUUAUGAUUAGUCUUUGUUUAUAUUACUUUCCUGUAUGUUUGCAUUCAAAAAAUUUAAAAUUUGUUUCUUCUUGUGCAGAUUUUCAAAAACAAACUCUUCGUAAAUUCAAUGUUACUUUGCAUAAAUUAUACAGUAGAAAAUUGAAUGGAGAUUCAUAAAGAACAAUGUGGUUCAAUUUGUGAUAGACGCGAGACUGUUUUCAAUGCUGAAGAGAAAGAGUUGCCUAUAUGCAACGAAUUAGCACUUGAUGCUCUAGAAGAGAAGCUGAAGGAUAAAAAAUAUUUUGAUAGCACGGUACACAUGUUGAAAACCCUAGGAGGUGUUGAUAUGCAUUCUUGCACUUUUAAUAUGCUUAAAAAAUUAAUAGCUAAUCCAUUGGCAAAAAUAUAUAACUUGGCUGGAAUGAAAAAAAAAUCUUCCAGGAUAAUGCUGUGCAAAAUCAUAAUUAAAACUGUUCGUAUCCAUUACAAGAAUGUGACUGAGGAGCAGAUUUCAAAAUGUAUAGCAAAAUGGCUAGCACAGACUAAAGCUCAUCGAGAGAGAAAAUAUGUAUAAGACUUGAUAUAUGUAUAUACGUAUAUAUACAUAUGUAUAUGUGUAUAUAUAUAUAUAUAUAUAUAUAUAUAUAUAUAUAUAUAUAUAUAUAUAUAUAUAGGGUUGGGAAAGUUACUUUGUAAAAAAUAACUAGUUAUAGUUACAGUUCCCUUUUUCCAAAAAUUAACUAGUUACCGUUAUAAGUUACUGACGUUAAAAAAUAACUCGUUACAGUUACUUGUUAUAGUUAUAGUUAUU